UCUUCUUUUCCAUGUCAUAGGAUUUUGAUGUUUGAGAGUUUGCUAUAUUAGUUGCUGACAGAUUGUCUGAAAAGAAUCUAGCAUAUGUUCUGCUUGCACUUCGUCGCCAUCUCAUACAAUUGUUGAUGCAUCUUGAGCAAAGUGCAGAUAGCAAAUGCAGAGAAGAAAGUGCUAAACUCUUGGGUUGCCUAAUUCGCAGCCUAAUGUUGUAUUAGAUGUAAUCGAAAAUCAAAAGUAGCCUUCAUAUACGGAGGUUAGUUUUUUCUAGUUGAAUAUUUAAUACAGAAAUGGCAUUUUAGUGAUGUCUCAUUAGUAGGUUGCUGUCCUGCAGAUGGGUAGCUAUGAUGCAAUGCUUAUGCAGAAGCUUGCUGCCAUGCAGCAGUUGGAACGUGAGCUUGAGGCCAUCUCUGCCAUUGAUUACCGGGGAAUUAUGUUAUUCCUAGUGAAGAAGUUCUUGUAGGUCUGUAUUGAUUUAGUUUAAUCGCUUCAUUGAGGUUGAGUUUAAAUGUUGUUGGUGGUUAUCUUCCUUUGGCAGGAACGUUUGGAGGAUCUAGCAGGUAAAGAUGCCCAAGAGAAAUCUGAUGCUGCUAUAGAAACCCUUUUACUAGAGCUUCCAGAUGAAAGAAAUGUCAAUAAAAGACCGGAUGAUUCAAAACAGAUACAAGAAAAGUCAAAGAAAAAGAAAAAAAAGAUUAUAGAAGAGAUAAGAAUAUAAAUAUUUGUGGAACCUAAUAUUGUGUAACAGUUUGAUUGUGUUUGUUUUGAAAACGUUAAGUAGACUGUUGUUAACUAUUUUGUUGGUAUUAUGGCUUUCA